rnacentral:rRNA from 1 species
GAUGAACGCUAGCGGAAGGCAUAAUACAUGCAAGUCGAACGGAUGUAGCAAUACAUUAGUGGCGCACGGGUGCGUAACGCGUAUGCAACCUACCUUCAUCAGGGGGAUAACUACCCGAAAGGGUGGCUAACACCGCAUAAUACUAUUGAGUGGCAUCACUUGAUAUUUAAAUCUGAGGAGGAUGAAGAUGGGCAUGCGUCUGAUUAGCUAGUUGGUGUGGUAACGGCGCACCAAGGCGACGAUCAGUAGGGGAACUGAGAGGUUGGUCCCCCACACUGGCAAUGAGAUACGGGCCAGACUCCUACGGGAGGCAGCAGUAGGGAAUAUUGGUCAAUGGUGGGAACACUGAACCAGCCAUUCCGCGUGCAGGAAGAAGGGUCUCUGACUUGUAAACUGCUUUAGCAAGGGAAGAAAAAGCUCAUGCGUGAGAAAUUGACGGUACCUUGAGAAUAAGCACCGGCUAACUACGUGCCAGCCGCCGCAGUAAGAC